rnacentral:rRNA from 1 species
GAUGAACGCUGGCGGCGUGCUUAACACAUGCAAGUCGAACGGAAAGGCCCAAGCUUGCUUGGGUACUCGAGUGGCGAACGGGUGAGUAACACGUGGGUGAUCUGCCCUGCACUUCGGGAUAAGCCUGGGAAACUGGGUCUAAUACCGGAUAGGACCACAUUUUGGAUGGUGUGGUGGAAAGUUUUUCGGUGUGGGAUGAGCUCGCGGCCUAUCAGCUUGUUGGUGGGGUAAUGGCCUACCAAGGCGUCGGCGGGUAGCCGGCCUGAGAGGGUGUACGGCCACAUUGGGACUGAGAUACGGCCCAGACUCCUACGGGAGGCAGCAGUGGGGAAUAUUGCACAAUGGGCGCAAGCCUGAUGCAGCGACGCCGCGUGGGGGAUGACGGCCUUCGGGUUGUAAACUCCUUUCGCUAGGGACGAAGCGUUUUUGUGACGGUACCUGGAGAAGAAGCACCGGCUAACUACGUG